UACGUAGGGACCAAGCGUUGUUCGGAUUUACUGGGCGUAAAGGGCGCGUAGGCGGCGUGGUAAGUCACUUGUGAAAUCUCUGAGCUUAACUCAGAACGGUCAAGUGAUACUGCUGUGCUAGAGUGCGGAAGGGGCAAUCGGAAUUCUUGGUGUAGCGGUGAAAUGCGUAGAUAUCAAGAGGAACACCUGAGGUGAAGACGGGUUGCUGGGCCG
rnacentral:rRNA from 1 species